rnacentral:rRNA from 1 species
UACGUAGGGUGCAAGCGUUAAUCGGAAUUACUGGGCGUAAAGCGUGCGCAGGCGGUUUUGUAAGUCUGACGCGAAAUCCCCGGGCUCAACCUGGGAAUUGCGUUGGAGACUGCAAGGCUGGAGUCUGGCAGAGGGGGGUAGAAUUCCACGUGUAGCAGUGAAAUGCGUAGAUAUGUGGAGGAACACCGAUGGCGAAGGCAGCCCCCUGGGUCAAAACUGACGCUCAUGCACGAAAGCGUGGGGAGCAAACAGG